rnacentral:lncRNA from 1 species
CAAUACUGAUAUGAAUGUGCAACGAUUCUAGUAGGAGCCAGAGUGGAUAACCACUCGUGAAAAUCUUCAAACUGCAGGGAACAAAGGUCACAAUCCAAAGGAUGUAUUUUUCGAGUUUCAAGGAACAUAAGACAAGACCUCAUUUUAUACAUGAAAAAUCUACGUUCCUGGUUGACAAGUAUUUCUCUCAUACCAUGUGGUCACAUGGUUACUAGUGUUGAGGGCUGGGACCCAGUCAUGUGCUUCUUGUGAGUCCCUAACAGUACCAGGAUGGUGUUUAUAUUAUGGGUGUUUACACUAAAGUACCAACUGGCUGAA